CUUAUUUAAUGCAAGCUUUUUAAUGAAAAAUUAUAAUGUUACUAUUAACCAGUUCUUAAUUAUAAUAAUUAGACAUUUGCUAUAUAUCAAAUAGUUUGCAUUCACCUUGACAUUUAAUCUUCCCUAUCUCAUCUCAAAGACAGUUAAAUGAGGUUCAGAAGAGUUUUAUGAUUUGCUGAAAUUGAAUAGUUGAACAAUACAAAGGUCAUAUGUGAGGUUCGUAACAUAACAUGAGAUUAUUUUUGGAAGAAAUGUUAUAACUCAUCUCUAUAUUAAAAAUUGUCAGAAUUCCUUUCAGGACUCUACUUGGGAAUAAAAGGAAAUGUUAAAUGCUCAAAUUUUAAACCUUUAAACAAAGUAAUGUACAAUGAUCAGACCAUUCUAAAUAGCUUCUGCUCUCUAUUUUUAAAUAAAACCUUGACAGUAAUCUUCAGUCACAAAAUAAGUAUUGGUAAUUGUAUGUCAACUUAACCUGUAUCUUAGAAUAGGAACAAAAAGCCUAGAAUGGUUUCCUUUUGUCUUACCAACAGGGCUGCCAAGGCUGGCAAGGAUGGUAAGAAAAGGGUGUGGAGCUGCCUGGAAGUGUAAAGAGGAGUCAGGCACGCGUAGGAACUGCUACUUUUCAUAACAAUGUCAAUUUCAUGUAUUUUAAUUUCUCUUGAAAACUACCUGAGUAGAGUACAACCUAGAAGAACAGGCCAACCACCCAAGAUUAGGAAAGAAGCACAGAGAGAUGUUCACGCAUCCAAAAUCUCCCAUGGACACAGUCUAUAAUUUAGAGUCGUAUUUGGAUUGGUGCUACAAGAAAAAAACCUGUUCACUAGAGGAUCUCACUUUUCCUGUUCUCCCGUAAUAUGGACAAGGUGUUUCUGAGCUUGGGCUCUCCACCUGCGCAGAAUGGAGUUCCUGUAGUGUGGCUCAAGGGCGAGGAAAGAAGAACUAAGCUUCAGAGAGACCACAGCUAUUGUCCUUCUGCCCUGGAAUUCUUUCUGCAACAGUCUCAAGAGUUUCUCUGGGCAUCUGCAGUUGAAACGCAUCCACUGUAAACAAAAUAUCUCAAAAUGGUAGAAUACAUUGGCACGAAAAGAGAAAAAACUUCUUCCUAGGAGAAAUGAUAUGCUAAAACCCUUGGAAGCAUUUAUGUCAUUUAAGAGGGACCAGUGGGUCUAGAGCCUAAGCAAAGAUAUAGUAAGAUUAACAGAAAUUGUCAGCUGGAAACAAGAACUAGAAUAAAAGAUAAAAUUUAAUUCAAAGAAUUUGUACAUCAGCCCUUAGUUAAAGUGCCUUCAGAUGCAUUAGUCCUAAGCUGUCAAAAAUUCAUUGAGCAGCAGACUGGUGAGCUAAUAAAAAUGCGCCUAUUUGCAGGCUGUGAAAGAAGGUAACUCUUCCCUUUUCAUAUCUUAACUGUGGCCUUUCUAUCGUCUACUUAUAUAUGUAAAUCAUUUGACUCUAUUACUAGAGACAUAAUCACCUGAAUUCUCGGACUCCACUGCCCAGAAUUUAUUCCUUUUUAUGAUUUUCUUCUUUAGAUUAUAUAAUAUUCUGCUUAUAUCCUAAUGGUGCAUGUUAAUACACAGAGACAUACCCACAUGUUUACAUAUUCUCAAUAUUAAAGGAGAGAGAAAUUACUGAAAGCUUUGAGUUCUUAAUACAAAGCAUAACUCAUGAAAUAUUCCCAAUGGACAAAGCAUUGUGCAGAACACUGUCUAGCCCACUGCCAUAAAGGUAAGAAUUUACUCUGAUUCUUGGGCACUUGGACAGUGGUCAAUAUCUGGCCAGGUGGCAAAGAAUUUAUGAGAUUGAAAAAUUGGAGCAAAGGAGGCUUGGAAAGGAGUGUGUGCGUGGAAUACUUGGAAAAGGCCCAGAUUAUAAAAAUGUUUGUACCCCAUGUGGAUUAUAACAUCUCCACUCCUCAUAAAAUGAGCCUUAAUAACCCAGAUAACCAGAUAUAUAGGCUGGAAUAUGAAUGUGAGUCAUUCUCCUUCCAUGGUUAACCCAGGACUUCAGGCUUUUAAACAAAGUUGUUAUGGUGACAAGGAUGGAAGUUACACAUGAGCUUAGUUAACUGAUGCUACUACUGAAUAUCCAAUGUGUCAGUAAUAGUGGCCAAAUAUGAUGCCUUAAGGGAAGUAGCAGCUAUCUGGUAACUGUUCAGUUAAAUUGUAGCCUUUUCAUUGCCAAGGAAACAAUCCAUAAAAUAUUGCCUUUAAUCAAGCUACUAGCUUCAAGUUUUAAAUCAGCAAGCCGAUGUCCGAAGGCAAUAAUCCUUAUGGAAUAGUCAAAUGCCUUGUUGGAAACUUUGCUGCACUCCCAAUGAGCAGACAAGACUUUGUCAGGUUGGGAUGCUGACUUGAAGGAUGUGGUUUUUGUUCUGGAUCAAUGCCAAGGUAUGUGGUCUGUUUAUCCAAAAACGCACAAGUCUUAGUAUGAAGGGGAAAGAGGCAGAUGAUGGCCCUAUAAUUAUAUCUAAUGAUCUUCUUUAUGAAUCGUUUGCUUUUGAGCCCAGGAAUUUUCUUUUCUUUAAGUUUUAGUGCCCAAGAAAGGUACAUGUGUACCAAUGAACACAAUGUUUUCUCUGAAUUAAAAAUAGAAGCUGCAUCGUGAUAGUUUUGGUUUUAUCCUGUCUCUAGGUAAAGAGUUAAGAAUUGCAGCUAUGCCAUCGUUUGACAUUGACUAUCAAGGGUAAACAGGAUUUCUGGUCUACAAUGGGGGCUGGAAAGAGUUAAGAUAGAAUGCUGUACAAUAAUGAAAAUCAGUGAGUGUGCUUCAAGCCUUUGUAGAAAGGACCAGGAAGUCCUAUAUGAGAUGAAGGAUUGGCUCACAUCACUAAGGAAAAAGUACCAACCAGCUAGGAUUCUGUCCAAAUGCAAGAGAAACAUGGAAUAGGUAGUGGAGAAAGGAAGUGAAAGUUACCAGAGGCGCUAUCGGCAGAAGUGAGCACUCUGGCCUGCACACA
ensembl:lncRNA